ACUUGAGCUCGAACGCGAUCAUGGAACAGAUCGUGUUCUCGUCGUGGAUGUCGAUGUUGGACAGCGACAUGUUCACCAACACGUCGUAAGUGCAUUCGGGGCCGUAACGUCGCCAGUCGGAAUCGUCGUGGUACGUGGCCUCGUGGCUGGGCACGCGUGCCGCUGAAACAGGGAGACGAGUGGGAGAUGACACGCGGCAAGAUGACCCAAGAGGGAGGGUAUUGAGUUAAUAGGCCCAACUCUGGUUUUGAACGAUAAAUUAUCGAAGUAACUCAUGGAAAUAAUUUUAUUCGUAACUUCAACUAUUAAAUUUUUCCCAUCACUGAUGAGACAAGCUGCGUCUACCGUUGAAAAGAAGUCUGAUGAGGCGGCAUGAGGGGUAAGAAAGGUUCUUCGUUAGGACAGGAUCUUCGUUUCAGACGCUUUGUCGACGAUCCUGUCACGACACACUAUAGAAUAGAAGAGGUAUUGAAUUGAAUCAUAGGAUUAAUAUAUGCAACAAAUACCACGCUAAAAAAUAUGCGUGAAAACAGAUGUUUCCUUUCGUAUUAAUCACAAUCCAAUCUUCAUUCCUUCUUCCAGAGUGUAUAGAAUCGAUGCUGCGAUUAUUAAUGCGUUGAAUAAUCACGAACUCUAUCGCAGUUUGAAAUUGAUAGUUUUUCAUCGAAUAGGAAUUAAUAAUGUGUAAUGGUUAUUUUGUAGAUGAUAGAUAAGAAUGUUAUUAAUAUAAUAAAAUAAAAUAUGACUUUAUAUCGAGUUGGAGUUGUGUAUAAUUGAGAUAGAUGAAUUUUCACAAUUUCGUUCUUUUAAUAAGCAUCGUCUCUUUUUAGAUUGUGGAUCUAUCGCCGUGAUAAUACCGAGCAAAUUUCAACUUGAGCUCAAAGUUUUAUUGGAAAAAUUAUUAUAUGUGUUAUCGAUCGCAAGAAAUAUUUUUACCUUGUAUAAAAAUUAAAUAUGAAAUACCUCUUGAAAAAGAUACAGGAGAUGUGAUCGAUGAAUGUUUCAUUCGUGGAAUAAAAGUUGAAGAAAGGAAAGCACACAGGUUGUAUUGUAUUAAAAUUUGAACAUUAUAAUCAUGUUCGAGAGUGAAGAAUGACUCGAGGAUCGAGCUCAUUUGGCAGUAAAGAUAGAAGAUCAUUGUAAAAUCAUAUGAAAGAUCAUUUCAAGAUCGAAAUUGUCAAAAUUUCGGUCUAUUUAAAAAGUGUUUGAGAUAAUCGUUCAAAAGUGGAAUACCAUUUUGAAUUCUUUCGAAGAAAAAAAAAUGUCAAAUUUAUAGAAAUAUGAACAAUAACAAAAAUAACUCGCUCUGCAAACUAUUUUAUUCACUAAUUAAGAUUCACUUUCGAUCUUAAUUAUAUUAUUAAAAAGUGUUUGAGAUGAAGUUUUCAUUCAAAAGUAGAACUAUUUUGAAGGAAAAAAAAAUCUAUAGAAAUAUGAACAACAAUAAAAAUAAUUCCUUCUGCAAACUA